GUGGCAGUAGCUCAGCCUUAGAGCUUUCGCCUGAUAUGCGAAGAGACCCGUGUUAAACUCCCGGCUGCUUCU
rnacentral:tRNA from 1 species